rnacentral:tRNA from 1 species
AAGGAAGAACAGAAGCUAGUAAGUACUGCUAAUCCUUACAUACCAUGGUUAAAAUCCGUGGCU